rnacentral:lncRNA from 1 species
ACAGGCAUGAGGCACCGUACCUAGCCCAUGUUGGCUUUUACUUUGGGAAGUAGGAGGCAGAGGAGCGACGUGAUUCAGUGGCGCUGUUCCCAGCCCAUAACUAUAAACUGUAGACUAAGUUCCUCCCAAGGUUAGGUCAGCCUGCACUCAGGAAUGAACAAGGACAGCUUGGAGGUUGGAAGCAAGAUGGAGUCAGUUAAGUUAGAUCUCUUUCACUGUCUCAGCCAUACUUUUGCAAAGGCAGUUUCAGAAUGAUGGCAUUGUUUA